rnacentral:lncRNA from 1 species
AGCUAAUCCCACAAUGAAGUGGAUUCUAAAUGGAUCUCCCCUCCCUUCCCCCCAUUUAGGUAAUUACUGCUGAGGGAGCUUUUGUAGAGAGCAAUUUUCCAGCAGGGGCAACCUCCAAUGUCUCUGGNAGAGGCAUAUAUGCCGGCGUAAAAACCAGUCCGAGGAUCGGAGUCAGGCUCUCGAACGUGGCUUGGAGAGAUUAUGAUGGGCUGAGUUACCCACCCAUCCCGUUACAGGGCACGGUGCAGGCGGGCAGCUCACAGCAGGUGACUUCUGGGCAUCCUCAGAGUGGAAUCACUGCAAAGGAGAAACAGUCUCCUCUCUGCUUCCGCGUCCUUGGCAAGAAGGUGCCCACGUGGGUCAGCCAAUUCUCAGUUGUAAAGAUGGUUUUGCGGUUUCCUAGACUUAUCCAGGGCUCUGUGCUGGCUUCAGAACUCUACUGCCUGGACAGCUCCAUGCCACAGCGGGUCUGAAAUACCGCAAGGAAUCCUUGAGGGAGAUCCUUUGCCCUUCACUCCUCCUGGCUUAUUUGAACCAGGGGAUAUUUUCCUUGGAUGGCAAUAUCUGCAGCAUCUGGAUGUCUCUGGUCUGGGAUGUCUCAGUCUUCACUCACUUUUAUCAUUGAAGCACUAAAGUACAUCUUCUUGGUGGUUAGUUAAUGAUACUCUUUCCUCAUGCUAGUGAAUCUAUAGGCAGGAGGAUAAAUGGUGGAAACACCUGGCUGUUCUCAAAUAUUGUAUUCCCAGAAAGGCAGUCAGUAUUGGGCUAACAUCAGGCAUGAAUGUCUAGAACUGUGGAUUACAGGCAACAGCCAUCAAUUCACCAGGUGAAGGUCCUCCUACUUCUGGUAUAUGUCCAAGUGAGUGCAAGAAGUAUCAUCACGACUUAUAUUUACUGGAGAAGUAGCAAUUUGACCAACUGUUUGCCAACGACACAGAGUCACUGACUGGCAUGCAAGUCAAAGAUCACCAUCAUCAAUGGCUCAUGGCCGUACAAAAAAGAUCCGUUCCCUAGCUUUCCUCCACUGCAAACACAAUACAAUCUGCAAACACUGUCAUGAUAUAAAGGGCCACUGACCCUUUAAUUACUCCCUAUUUUCUCCUCUUUCCUGAAAUCAGAAAGCGUUUUUCUAUUUUCAUNUGUAGACUUCACAUUAUUUCUACGUGCUUUUACUCUUGAGUAAAAAGCUUCCAGUGGGAACUGAAAGUUUGAUUUGCACAGUUCUUAUUGACUGAUUUAUGUUCCACCUUUUGACUUGAAAGUUAUUCAGACGGUGAAUGAUAUUUGAAAACACAAUAAAACUAUAAAAACUAGAUACA